ensembl:snRNA U7 U7 small nuclear RNA
AAGUGUCAUGGCUCUUUAAGAAUUUGUACAGCAGGUUUUCUGGUUUUUGCCGGAAAGCACCCGC